GAUGAACGCUGGCGGCGUGCCUAAUACAUGCAAGUCGAGCGAACGGACGAGAAGCUUGCUUCUCUGAUGUUAGCGGCGGACGGGUGAGUAACACGUGGAUAACCUACCUAUAAGACUGGGAUAACUUCGGGAAACCGGAGCUAAUACCGGAUAAUAUUUUGAACCGCAUGGUUCAAAAGUGAAAGACGGUCUUGCUGGCACUUAUAGAUGGAUCCGCGCUGCAUUAGCUAGUUGGUAAGGUAACGGCUUACCAAGGCAACGAUGCAUAGCCGACCGGAGAGGGGGAUCGGCCACACUGGAACUGAGACACGGUCAAGACUCCUACGGGAGGCAGCAGUAGGGAAUCGUACGCAAUGGGCGAAAGCCUGACGGAGCAACGCCGCGUGAGUGAUGAAGGUCUUCGGAUCGUAAAACUCUGUUAUUAGGGAAGAACAUAUGUGUAAGUAACUGUGCACAUCUUGACGGUACCUAAUCAGAGAGCAACGGCUAACUACGUG
rnacentral:rRNA from 1 species